GACGAACGCUGGCGGCGUGCUUAACACAUGCAAGUCGAACGGAAAGGCCCUGCUUGCCGGGUACUCGAGUGGCGAACGGGUGAGUAACACGUGGGUGAUCUGCCCUGCACUUCGGGAUAAGCCUGGGAAACUGGGUCUAAUACCGGAUAGGAGCCAUUUUUAGUGUGAUGGUUGGAAAGUUUUUUCGGUGUAGGAUGAGCUCGCGGCCUAUCAGCUUGUUGGUGGGGUAAUGGCCUACCAAGGCGGCGACGGGUAGCCGGCCUGAGAGGGUGGACGGCCACAUUGGGACUGAGAUACGGCCCAGACGCCUACGGGAGGCAUCAGUGGGGAAUAUUGCACAAUGGGCGCAAGCCGGAUGCAGCGACGCCGCGUGGGGGAUGACGGCCUUCGGGUUGUAAACUCCUUUCGCUAGGGACGAAGCUUUUUGUGACGGUACCUAGAUAAGAAGCACCGGCUAACUACGUG
rnacentral:rRNA from 1 species